CCGACGGUGAGGGACGAAAGCUGGGGGAGCAAACCGGAUUAGAUACCCGGGUAGUCCCAGCUGUAAACGAUGCGCGUUAGGUGUGUCAGUGACCACGUGUCACUGAUGUGCCGAAGGGAAACCGUGAAACGCGCCGCCUGGGGAGUACGGUCGCAAGGCUGAAACUUAAAGGGAUUGGCGGGGGAGCACCACAACGGGUGGAGCCUGCGGUUUAAUCGGACUCAACGCCGGAAAUCUCACCGGAUAA
rnacentral:rRNA from 1 species